CCGUGAGAGCAGUAAGCCCCGGGUGAGAAGACAACGCUUAGGUAUCAACUUUCUUUUAUUUGUAUAGCAUAUUACUGUCUACGAGGCACAUUUACUUCUGCUGGUGCAUUUCAGCUUCAUAAAAUACCCAAAAGGUAAUGAAUCAGAAAGGAAAAAAUGAUUUUAAAAAACCCUGCUGAUUGUAACCAUUUCAUAUUCUGAGGGAGACAGAGAUUAAUCUCAGGGGGAAUUGUUCUUUUAUUUAGAAAGCAAGAUCAAUGCAUUUUACUUACGAAAGAGCAGCUCCUCACUGUCUGGAUGAGAGAAUGUGUCAGAGUGAA
rnacentral:lncRNA from 1 species